rnacentral:rRNA from 1 species
CCUACGGGAGGCAACAGUGGGGAAUAUUGCACAAUGGGGGAAACCCUGAUGCAGCGACGCCGCGUGAGUGAAGAAGUAUUUCGGUAUGUAAAGCUCUAUCAGCAGGGAAGAAAAUGAUGGUACCUGACUAAGAAGCCCCGGCUAACUACGUACCAGCAGCCGCGGUAAUACGUAGGGGGCAAGCGUUAUCCGGAUUUACUGGGUGUAAAGGGAGCGUAGACGGCGGAACAAGUCAGAAGUGAAAACCCGGGGCUCAACCCUGGGAGUGCUUUUGAAACUGUUUGGCUGGAGUGCAGGAGAGGUAAGCGGAAUUCCUAGUGUAGCGGUGAAAUGCGUAGAUAUUAGGAGGAACACCAGUGGCGAAGGCGGCUUACUGGACUGUAACUGACGUUGAGGCUCGAAAGCGUGGGGAGCAAACAGGAUUAGAUACCCUUGUAGUC